rnacentral:rRNA from 2 species
AAACUUGAGAGUUUGAUCAUGGCUCAGAACGUACGCUGGCGGCACGCCUAACACAUGCAAGUCGAACGAAGUAGCAAUACUUAGUGGCAGACGGGUGAGUAACAUGUGGGUAUCUGCCCUUUGGCCUGGAAUAACACGAGGAAACUUGUGCUAAUACCGGAUAAGUCUUUACGGAGAAAGCUUUAUGCACCAUUGGAUGAGCCCGCACUUGAUUAGUUUGUUGGUGGGGUAAUGGCCUACCAAGACUGUGAUCAAUAGCUGAUUUGAGAGGAUGAUCAGCCACAUUGGGACUGAGACACGGCCCAAACUCCUACGGGAGGCAGCAGUGGGGAAUCUUGCACAAUGGAGGAAACUCUGAUGCAGCGAUGCCGCGUGAGUGAAGAAGGCCCUUGGGUUGUAAAGCUCUUUCGUCGGGGAAGAAAAUGACUGUACCCGAAUAAGAAGGUCCGGCUAACUUCGUGCCAGCAGCCGCGGUAAUACGAAGGGACCUAGCGUAGUUCGGAAUUACUGGGCUUAAAGAGUUCGUAGGUGGUUGAAAAAGUUAGUGGUGAAAUCCCAGAGCUUAACUCUGGAACUGCCAUUAAAACUUUUCAGCUAGAGUAUGAUAGAGGAAAGCAGAAUUUCUAGUGUAGAGGUGAAAUUCGUAGAUAUUAGAAAGAAUACCAAUUGCGAAGGCAGCUUUCUGGAUCAUUACUGACACUGAGGAACGAAAGCAUGGGUAGCGAAGAGGAUUAGAUACCCUCGUAGUCCAUGCCGUAAACGAUGUGUGUUAGACGUUGGAAAUUUAUUUUCAGUGUCGCAGCGAAAGCGAUAAACACACCGCCUGGGGAGUACGACCGCAAGGUUAAAACUCAAAUGAAUUGACGGGGACCCGCACAAGUAGUGGAGCAUGUGGUUUAAUUCGAAGAUACGCGCAGAACCUUACCAACACUUGACAUGUUCGUCGCGACUCUAAGAGAUUAGAGUUUUCGGUUCGGCCGGACGAAACACAGGUGCUGCAUGGCUGUCGUCAGCUCGUGUCGUGAGAUGUUGGGUUAAGUCCCGCAACGAGCGCAACCCUCACUUUUAGUUGCCAUCAUUAAGUUGGGCACUCUGAAAGAACUGCCAGUGAUAAGCUGGAGGAAGGUGGGGAUGACGUCAAGUCCUCAUGGCCCUUACGUGUUGGGCUACACACGUGCUACAAUGGUAUCUACAACAGGAAGCAAGACUGCGAGGUCAAGCAAAUCCUUAAAAGAUACCUCAGUUCGGAUUGCACUCUGCAACUCGAGUGCAUGAAGCUGGAAUUACUAGUAAUCGUGGAUCAGCGUGCCACGGUGAAUGCGUUCCCGGGUCUUGUACACACCGCCCGUCACACCAUGGGAGUUGGUUCUACCUUAAGGCAAGGUUUCAAACCCUUGACCACGGUAUAGUCAGCGACUGGGGUGAAGUCGUAACAAGGUAGCCGUAGGGGAACCUGCGGCUGGAUUACCUCCUUU